GAUGAACGCUGGCGGCGUGCUUAACACAUGCAAGUCGAACGGAGUUUAUAUGAAACCUAGUGAUUAUAAACUUAGUGGCGGACGGGUGAGUAACGCGUGGGUAACCUGCCUUAUACCGGGGGAUAACACUUAGAAAUAGGUGCUAAUACCGCAUAAGCGCACAGCUUCGCAUGAAGCAGUGUGAAAAACUCCGGUGGUAUAAGAUGGACCCGCGUCUGAUUAGCUAGUUGGUGAGGUAACGGCCCACCAAGGCGACGAUCAGUAGCCGGCCUGAGAGGGUGAACGGCCACAUUGGGACUGAGACACGGCCCAAACUCC
rnacentral:rRNA from 1 species